rnacentral:RNase_P_RNA from 1 species
UGAGCAAGACAGACAAUCGCGGUGCGCAUAUGCGCAAUGAGGAAAGUCCGGGCUCCGGGGCAAGGAUGCCGGGUAACUCCCGGUGAAGGUAACUUUAAGGAAAGUGCAACAGAAAUAUACCGCCCUUAAGCAUAAGAGAGUUAAAGCCGCAUAGUUUAAAAAACGUAAAAGUGUGCUGUGCGUGUUUGAUUCUCUUAUGCUUAGGGGUAAGGUUGGAAUGGUGAGGUAAGAGCUCACCGGCGCCUGGGUAAUCAGGCGGCCAUGUAAACCCCAUCCGGAGCAACGCUGGCGUGGCGGAAAAUGUUAUAGACGGCCCGUCUCUUUUUCGGUCAGCGGCUUGAGCCAUGCAGAGAUGUACGGCCUAGAUAGAUGAUUGUCCAACGACAGAACCCGGCUUAUAGGCUUGCUCGUAAA